GAUGAAGAACGUAGCGAAAUGCGAUAAGUAGUGUGAAUUGCAGAAUUCAGUGAAUCAUCGAAUCUUUGAACGCACAUUGCGCCCACUGGUAUUCCGGUGGGCAUGCCUGUUCGAGCGUCAUUAUCCUCCCUCAAACCCCGGGUUUGGUGUUGGACCCAAGUUGUGUGAACAACUGGUCUUAAAGACAAUGACGGCGUCCGUGGGACCCUCGGUGCAACGAGCUUUUAGGAGCACGCAUCGAGUUGCAAGGACCUUCCGGGCCGGUCUCCUUUACUAUUUUACAAGGUUGACCUCGGAUCAGGUAGGAAUACCCGCUGAACUUAAGCAUAUCAAUAAGCGGAGGA
rnacentral:misc_RNA from 1 species